rnacentral:rRNA from 1 species
UUCCAGACUCCUACGGGAGGCAGCAGUGGGGAAUAUUGCACAAUGGGGGAAACCCUGAUGCAGCGACGCCGCGUGAGCGAUGAAGUAUUUCGGUAUGUAAAGCUCUAUCAGCAGGGAAGAAGAUGACGGUACCUGACUAAGAAGCCCCGGCUAACUACGUGCCAGCAGCCGCGGUAAUACGUAGGGGGCAAGCGUUAUCCGGAUUUACUGGGUGUAAAGGGAGCGUAGACGGCGAUGCAAGCCAGAUGUGAAAGCCCGGGGCUCAACCCCGGGACUGCAUUUGGAACUGUGUGGCUGGAGUGUCGGAGAGGCAGGCGGAAUUCCUAGUGUAGCGGUGAAAUGCGUAGAUAUUAGGAGGAACACCAGUGGUGAAGGCGGCCUGCUGGACGAUGACUGACGUUGAGGCUCGAAAGCGUGGGGAGCAAACAGGAUUAGAUACCCGCGUAGU